rnacentral:rRNA from 2 species
AGAGUUUGAUCCUGGCUCAGAGUGAACGCUGGCGGCAGGCCUAACACAUGCAAGUCGAACGGCAGCACAGGGGUAGCAAUACCCUGGGUGGCGAGUGGCGGACGGGUGAGGAAUACGUCGGAAUCUGCCUAUUUGUGGGGGAUAACGUGGGGAAACUUACGCUAAUACCGCAUACGCCCCACGGGGGAAAGCGGAGGACCUUCGGGCUUCGCGCAGAUAGAUGAGCCGACGUCGGAUUAGCUAGUUGGCGGGGUAAAGGCCCACCAAGGCGACGAUCCGUAGCUGGUCUGAGAGGAUGAUCAGCCACACUGGAACUGAGACACGGCCCAGACUCCUACGGGAGGCAGCAGUGGGGAAUAUUGGACAAUGGGGGCAACCCUGAUCCAGCGACGCCGCGUGUGUGAAGAAGGCCUGCGGGUUGUAAAGCACUUUUAGUGGGGAUGAAAAGCACCGGGCUAAUACCCAGGUGUCUUGACCUAACCCAAAGAAAAAGCACCGGCUAACUCUGUGCCAGCAGCCGCGGUAAU